UAAUACAUGCAAGUCGAACGAACUCUGGUAUUGAUUGGUGCUUGCAUCAUGAUUUACAUUUGAGUGAGUGGCGAACUGGUGAGUAACACGUGGGAAACCUGCCCAGAAGCGGGGGAUAACACCUGGAAACAGAUGCUAAUACCGCAUAACAACUUGGACCGCAUGGUCCGAGCUUGAAAGAUGGCUUCGGCUAUCACUUUUGGAUGGUCCCGCGGCGUAUUAGCUAGAUGGUGGGGUAACGGCUCACCAUGGCAAUGAUACGUAGCCGACCUGAGAGGGUAAUCGGCCACAUUGGGACUGAGACACGGCCCAAACUCCUACGGGAGGCAGCAGUAGGGAAUCUUCCACAAUGGACGAAAGUCUGAUGGAGCAACGCCGCGUGAGUGAAGAAGGGUUUCGGCUCGUAAAACUCUGUUGUUAAAGAAGAACAUAUCUGAGAGUAACUGUUCAGGUAUUGACGGUAUUUAACCAGAAAGCCACGGCUAACUACGUGCCAGCAGCCGCGGUAAUACGUAGGUGGCAAGCGUUGUCCGGAUUUAUUGGGCGUAAAGCGAGCGCAGGCGGUUUUUUAAGUCUGAUGUGAAAGCCUUCGGCUCAACCGAAGAAGUGCAUCGGAAACUGGGAAACUUGAGUGCAGAAGAGGACAGUGGAACUCCAUGUGUAGCGGUGAAAUGCGUAGAUAUAUGGAAGAACACCAGUGGCGAAGGCGGCUGUCUGGUCUGUAACUGACGCUGAGGCUCGAAAGUAUGGGUAGCAAACAGGAUUAGAUACCCUGGUAGUCCAUACCGUAAACGAUGAAUGCUAAGUGUUGGAGGGUUUCCGCCCUUCAGUGCUGCAGCUAACGCAUUAAGCAUUCCGCCUGGGGAGUACGGCCGCAAGGCUGAAACUCAAAGGAAUUGACGGGGGCCCGCACAAGCGGUGGAGCAUGUGGUUUAAUUCGAAGCUACGCGAAGAACCUUACCAGGUCUUGACAUACUAUGCAAAUCUAAGAGAUUAGACGUUCCCUUCGGGGACAUGGAUACAGGUGGUGCAUGGUUGUCGUCAGCUCGUGUCGUGAGAUGUUGGGUUAAGUCCCGCAACGAGCGCAACCCUUAUUAUCAGUUGCCAGCAUUAAGUUGGGCACUCUGGUGAGACUGCCGGUGACAAACCGGAGGAAGGUGGGGAUGACGUCAAAUCAUCAUGCCCCUUAUGACCUGGGCUACACACGUGCUACAAUGGAUGGUACAACGAGUUGCGAACUCGCGAGAGUAAGCUAAUCUCUUAAAGCCAUUCUCAGUUCGGAUUGUAGGCUGCAACUCGCCUACAUGAAGUCGGAAUCGCUAGUAAUCGCGGAUCAGCAUGCCGCGGUGAAUACGUUCCCGGGCCUUGUACACACCGCCCGUCACACCAUGAGAGUUUGUAACACCCAAAGUCGGUGGGGUAACCUUUUAGGAACCAGCC
rnacentral:rRNA from 1 species